UACGUAGGGUGCGAGCGUUAAUCGGAAUUACUGGGCGUAAAGCGUGCGCAGGCGGUUUUGUAAGUUUGUCGUGAAAGCCCCGGGCUCAACCUGGGAAUUGCGAUGAAGACUGCAAGGCUUGAAUCUGGCAGAGGGGGGUAGAAUUCCACGUGUAGCAGUGAAAUGCGUAGAGAUGUGGAGGAACACCGAUGGCGAAGGCAGCCCCCCUGGGUCAAGAUUGACGCUCAUGCACGAAAGCGUGGGGAGCAAACAGGG
rnacentral:rRNA from 1 species